AUUGAACGCUGGCGGCAGGCCUAACACAUGCAAGUCGAACGGUAGCACAGAGAGCUUGCUCUCGGGUGACGAGUGGCGGACGGGUGAGUAAUGUCUGGGAAACUGCCCGAUGGAGGGGGAUAACUACUGGAAACGGUAGCUAAUACCGCAUAAUGUCGCAAGACCACAGAGGGGGACCUUCGGGCCUCUUGCUAUCGGAUGUGCCCAGAUGGGAUUAGCUUGUUGGUGAGGUAAUGGCUCACCAAGGCGACGAUCCCUAGCUGGUCUGAGAGGAUGACCAGCCACACUGGAACUGAGACACGGUCCAGACUCCUACGGGAGGCAGCAGUGGGGAAUAUUGCACAAUGGGCGCAAGCCUGAUGCAGCCAUGCCGCGUGUGUGAAGAAGGCCUUCGGGUUGUAAAGCACUUUCAGCGGGGAGGAAGGCAAUGCGGUUAAUAACCGUGUUGAUUGACGUUACCCGCAGAAGAAGCACCGGCUAACUCCGUG
rnacentral:rRNA from 1 species